rnacentral:misc_RNA from 1 species
AAGGAUCAUUAAUGAUUGAACGUCUGUCGAGCUUGCUCACAGGCACAUCAUAUCCAUAACACCUGUGCACUUGUCGGAUGGCUUAGUGAAGACCGCAAGGUUGGAUCUAUCCAUCUACUUUACAUAACAAUUCUGUAACAAAUGUAGUCUUAUUAUAACAUAAUAAAACUUUCAACAACGGAUCUCUUGGCUCUC